GGGAAAAAGGGGCAGAAGGGGAGCGAGCCAAAGUGCUCGCCACCCCCGCCAGGCGCUUUUACGCCCCUGGGCUGUUGAUGAAAGCGCCCGGCCCGGCGUGCUUGCGACUCUCCCGCCCGAAAGCCCCGAGCAGAUGUGCGCUUCCGACCACCCAGCUCCGGCACCUCUUCCCCGUUUCCAUAAGGAGAUGUUAUCGGAGUCACCGUAGUGGCUUGCCACGGAGACUGUCACAGUUACAAUCCAGCCCGCAGUAUUUUGGAAAGCUCCUACACAAAUAAGGAGAGUGCAAGAAACACGACCCUAUUUGCAAGCCAAUAUACCUUUCCGGCCUUGACAAUGUCCGCUUCUUCUCCGCAUGAGGGAAAACACCGCAGCAAAACAAAGCCAGAGAACCGCUGCAGAAGCUCGGUGGGUUUCCAGCCUGCUCGCUGCAGAGCUGGUACCCCGAGAGGCUGGGACACAGCGUGCCCGCGGCCUCUCUGCAUUUUCAAAAUCUGCGCCGGAGAUGCGUUAUUUCCUCGGGGUGAUACAACAUGUGUGCACGCAGAUCGACACAGAGAUAUUUAUCGGUCGUUUUAAGUGCCGGCAUGUGUGCGUACGUACGGAUGUCCGCGUAUUUACAUACGUCCUACAUCUGGACUAGCUUUUCACUUUCAUCCUCCGUUUACACCCGGCCGCACACGGACACGGGCGCAGGUUUAGACGCCCGUAUGCCGAAGCUCCUGUCCCCUGGGCACGUCCCGGGGCCGGCCCCAGCCCCGCUCUCCCCUCGAGCUUCGCCCCAGGGGUUCCCGCAGCACCGCAGCCCCGUUCAAAGCACCGAGGCCGCUCCUCCUCCGCCGGCCUCGGCCGCGGAGCCCGCGGCCUCCCCGCCGCUCCUUCUCCCCCGGAGAGCCCCCAGCCAGCUUGAGAGCCCCCGGACCCCCUCGGCCGAGGGCGGCAGCCCUUCCCCAGGCCCUCGGAGGCAGCCCGUGUGCUUGCCGCCGGCGCGGAGCUGCUGCCCCCCGAGCAGCGUUUUGGCCGUCCUUUCCCCCGGGGCCCCCCCAGAGGCGUCUCCGCAGCCCGUGCGGUGGAUGCGGAGAGCGCACGGAGCUCCUGCGAGAGCGGGGCUUGCGGUUCCCGCUGCCUCCUUUGCAGCCUGCUCCAUCUCUAUCUUUCUCUUUCUUUAAUUUAUGACCUCUCAGCUCCUGUUGACACAGUUUUCCACACUGCCUAUAUUGUAGGAUCGCAUUGUAAUAUACGCCGAAUCAGCUCAGUCGUCAGCCAGCACACGGAAGGGUGGGUAUUUGAUAUUUCACAGCUAUUUAGGAACGCUCGGCUCCAUCUGAGGAUGACAGCAAUUCGCCUCGCCUCCAAGUUAUCCGUGAAUUACAGCUCGAUAUCUGUUUUCCUUUCGUAACGUCUUGGAGAUUAGCAAAGCGAAACACCUAAAGAACCACGGCUGCUCUCCUCCUGGCCCGCCUGUUAACCCGACGUUUAACUGUUCCCUUUCGAUAGCUAAAUCUGCUUUCCACAGAUGCUGGUCUUUUUUUAUUGCAGAAGCAGGAGCGCGGAGAAAUUUUUAUAUAUUUGUUAGUAAAAGCUAGAAAAUAAGCUCUGAACAUGCUGUAAAAAAUAUUCGGUUACUUACCAAUCAGCCUAGUUAAACAAGCAUGAAACUGAUUUCAGGAGCAUAACUGAACCGGGUGAACACUGGUCGAGGUGCGUGCCCGCAGCCGGCAAGCUGGAAGAGAAUCGUUUAGAGUCGGUUUUAUUGCUAUUAU